UGUAAUUGCAUGCAGGUAGCUUGUUUGUGACAGGCUGCAUGGCAAAGGAUCGGAGCUGCACCUUUGUUUAAAGAUACAAUCCAUGAGCAGCAUCAAAACCAGCACUGCUUUCAGGCUGGUGUGGUAAGUGGCCACAGCCAUCACAGUGCGUGCAGGAAAGGCUGGGAUACAGGUAAACAAACAUUAAGUGCUGGCUCUCCAUACAAAUGGAAAUUAAGGAUGUGAUAAAUUUGCUUUUUAAAGCAAUCAAAUCUCCAAUACCCACCAUUUGGCUCAAUUGGAGACAAUGAGGACACAGGGUAAUGUGACAGAUCAGCCAUUUUGUGGGAAUGAACACAUUUAUUUUAGCUAUACCAGGCAGACAAAAUUCACUUUAAGUUACAUAACAUGGCAAUUUAUCUUCAUCAUCCAUUACCUGUGAGUUCAUAAGUGAAAACCUGUCAUCAAAGACACAGCCUAUGCUUGACUAGAAGUUCAGAGCACCGAUUGCUUUGAUGCCACAGUCACAACCACACUCUGGAAGGACGUCUAACUGAGCUGCAUACGUGCCACCCCAUGCAGAACAACAUGAGGGCUGCCCCAGCUCAACCCUCAGCAUCAGAUCACCUCUGCUGCCAUCUCCCAUUGCCCACCUGGAGCACUGUGUCCAGAUGCGCAGUCCUCAGUACAGGAGAGACUCACAAAAUCAUAGAAUCAUAGAAUGGCUUGUGUUGGAACGGACCCCAAGAAUCACCGAGUUCCAACCCCCCUGCCAAAGGUAGGGCCACUAACCUCCAGAUCUGGUACUGGACCAGGUUGCCCAGGGCUCCAUCCAACCUGGUCUUGAACACUUUCAGGGAUGGGGCAUCCACAGCCUCUGUGAGCAGCCUGUUCCAGAACCUCACCACUCUCUCUGUGGGACGUGGACCUGUUGGAUCACGUUUAGAGGAGGACCAUGAAAACGAUGCAAAGUACUCACAGAGUCCGCAAGAUUCCCUUCCAUGGCAUGAAUACAACCUGGCAGUACCCAGACUUCUCUUUUUUCUCCUCCCAGCAGACGAAUUUUCAGAUGAUGGAGAUUUUUUCACUUGGCAAAUUUUGACUGUUUUGCUGAGAGCUGCGGCUGGGGCUUCUCGCACAUCAUCUCUUGCUCCUUUUUCUCUGUUUCCUCCUUCUCAGACCUCACUCACAGCCUUGCCUUUUAUCAGAGGCCCAGCAAGCCCCCCAGAAUUAGAAGAUUGGCACCACUGUCUAGAUCAAUCACAGAUACCGACAGCUUUGGACAAACAGCAUUGCCAGGCUGUGGGUUGCAGGAUGUCCAUCGUGUCCCAUCCAGAGUGUGACCUUGGAUCACCAAAAGCUGUGAUGCAGUUAUCAAGAUGGGUUUCGCGUUUCAAGGUCACUCGAACAUCUCUAAGGAGAAGGCAACAUAAACUCUUGCAGUAUGCAGCAGCCCUGAGCCAAUGAGCUGCCAUUCUACACACUACAGCUGCAGAAAAGGAGUGAAGGCUCCAAGGAUGACCUACACCAUUUACAUCACAACCACGGAUGGACUUGAGGAAAAAGCUUUAAAGCAACACAGAAAGCAGAUUCUCUGCUCUGCAUGCCCAAAAACUCCCGGUUUUCAUUGAGAGCAAAAGUCACAGCCACUGUACAACCACUUUUAGUUGAUUUUAAAUGCACCUGUCCCUUCAGCCUCACAUUGUAACUCUCAGUCUCUGUCCAGGAGCAAAUCCGUCUUUUAAAGCAACACAGACAUUCUGAAGCAGCCUAGAGACAAGAUUAGGAAUAAUUUAGUUGCUGUCUUUUCAACUUUUUGAACAGUGGUGGUGUCAAAUGCCCCAAGUACAAGCCUGAAAUGGAACAAGUAACAGAGGUAGAUCAACAGCGAAGGAAAUGCCAUUUAGUGUCUCAUCCCUAAAGAAACUUCACAUCAGUGAUAAAGAGCGUGAUCUGAAAAAAAAAGAAAAGCUGAAACCACACAGAAAAAAUGAGUGAGGUGGGGAAAAUCAGAUGUGGCUGAGAACAGAAGGUACUUCUCAAUUCAUAAGCACCAGGAAAAGUUCUCACUCCCCACACAGUCCUAAUUCCAGCAUCCCCAGCCUUCCAAGAGUUUGACUUCUCAGCAUAAUUCCCAGCCUCAAAAAAAUGGUGCUUUGUACGGAGUGCACCUCCACAGACCAACAAAUCUCUGCACGAUUCAGCAGGUGGGGUGAGCAAUUGGCUCUGCACUGCUCUCCUCUGGUCUGAGUUACACGGCCCGGGAGAGGGACGUGAUUGAUUUCAAACCCAUUUAUGGCUCACAUAAAGCUUUAAGACGGAAUCGUGUUUAGUAUUUUGUUUUUAUUUCAUUUUAUCAUG
rnacentral:lncRNA from 1 species